rnacentral:rRNA from 1 species
UGUUUCGCUUCGCGAAAUUCCACAUUUUUUCAUUUUGAUCUUUGCAUUUUGAGCACCGAGCUUUAGUGAGGUGCGUGUGGGGGUUGCAAGGUAGGGACACUUUAGAGAUAUGAAACAGGUUGGCGCAUCUCACUAAGGCGAGAUGCUUAGUAAUGUAAACUUCAAAAAUCAAAAUGAAAAAUUAAGGUUUCUCAAUAAAUUUCUAAACGAAAUUUAUUGAGAUUCAUAAAUUUUAAACUUUGAUAUUUACAUUUUACAUUUCGAGUAUCGAACUUUAGUGAGGUGCGUUAUAGUAGCCUGUUUCGUGUUUCUAAAAAUGAGUCAAAAAAUUGUUUCCUAGCAGAACGGGCUGGAAAGCCCGACCAAAGGAGGUGAUAGUCCUGUAGGCGAAAGGAAGCAAACUCAUGUUCUUAUUCUUAAGUACUUCGAGGCAAAUAAACCUUGAAGGAAUCUGCCGGUACUAUCCGGCAAGGCUAAAUACAUGUAGUGAUCGAUAGUGAACUAGUACCGUGAGGGAAAGGUGAAAAGCACCCCGGGAGGGGGAUGAAAUAGAACCUGAAACCAUACACUUACAAGGAGUCGGAGGCUUAUAUCGGUUCGCAAGAACUGGUCGGCUGACGAUGUGCCUAUUGAAGAAUGAGCCAACGACUUUAUCCGUAUUGCUUAUCUAAGUUGGGUAAAUCCAACGGAGGUGUAGCGAAAGCGAGUCUUAAUAGGGCGAUCUGAGAUCUGAGUAACGGUUGAGAGCAAUCUUCGCCGUUACUCAUUUUUCAAAGGCAGUGCGGAUAAGACCCGAAGCCAAAGCGAGCUUGCCCUGAGCAGGAUGAACCCCGAGUAACAUCGGGGGGAGGUCCGAACUGGUGGGUUGUGCAACACCCUCGGAUGACUUAGGGUAAGAAGUGAAAAGCUAAUCGAGCUUGGUAAUAGCUGGUUCUCUCCGAAAUAGUUUUAGGACUAGCGGUUGGAGACCUGUAGAGAGGGGUAGAGCUACUGGUUCGAGGUUACAGGGCGAAAGCUCGGAUCCCGAGUCAAACUCCGAAUACUCUCUAUAUUGUCCAACUAGUCAGAACGUGGGGGCAAAGCUCCAUGUUCGCAAGGGAAACAGCCCAGAUCGCAGUCUAAGGCCCCUAAAUCUUUGCUAAGUGUUAAAGGUAGUCGUGAACCAUAGACAGAUAGGAGGUUGGCUUAGAGGUAGCCAUCCUUUAAAGAGUGUGUAACAACUCACUAUUCAAGGUUCAUGGCGCCGAAAAUGUACCGGGGCUAAGCAAAGUGCCGAAGACGCGGGUUUGUAGAUUCUUCGGAAUCUGCAAGCGGUAGGAGAGCAUUUCAAACGCGCUGAAGGGAGACCCGCGAGGGCUCCUGGAGUGUUUGGAAGAGCAAAUGUUGGCAUGAGUAACCACAUAUACAAUGAGAAAUUGUAUCCCCGAAAAUCCAAGGUUUCCGUGGCAAUGGCAAUCAUCCACGGGUGAGGCGAUCCUAAGGCAAUGGUGAGAACCGUAGCUGAUGGGUAGCCGGUUAAUAUUCCGGCCCUUCCUGUAAUUUCGAUGGGGUGACGGAGGACAUAAGAUUCUGCGCAUUAGUGGUUUUGCGUCGCGUGCGUCAAGGUUUGGCGAUUUGGCAAAUCCGGUCGUCUUUAUUUAAUUAAGGAAACCGCGUGCAUUCGUAAGAUGAGGUUUUUACCUCAUUAAUAGGAUUGAAGAGCCUUCCGAGAAAAACCUCUAAGGUUAGGUUACAGGGAAUCGUACCGUAAACCGACACAGGUGGAUAGGGCGAGUAGCCCAAGGGGAACGAGUGAUUCUUCGUUAAGGAACUCGGCAAAAAAGCGGCCGUAAGUUAGCAAUAAGGCCUGCCCUGAUUUGCCAGCUGGAUAAUGGGUUCGGAGUGUGAGGUGUCUCAAUAGCAAAGGCUCUCUGGAGCCAAUGCCUUGUGGGACCGCGAUCGAAACCUCACACUUACCCAUGCCAAUCCACGUCGCCGCAAAAGGCGUGGAUUGGCCCUAUUAUCCAGUUGGUAAUGAUGGGCCGCAGCGAAAGUAUCUCUGGCGACUGUUUACCAAAAACACAGCUCCCUGCUAACUCGCAAGAGGAUGUAUAGGGGGUGACACCUGACCGAUGCGAGAAGGUUAACGGUGGGGACGUAUGUAGUUUACUCUGUAUAUGUUCACCGCCCGAAGCCCUCGUCAAUGUCAGCGAUAACUAUAAUCGUUCUAAGGUAGCGCAAUUCCUUUUCGGGUAAGUUCCGAAGCGCACGAAUGGUGUAACGACUGGAGAACUGUCUCAACGAAGAGCUCGGUGAAAAUGCGAUACCCGUGAAGACGCGGGUUACCUGCAGCAAGACGAAAAGACCCCGGAAGCUUUACUGUAGUUUGGUAUUGGCUUUAGGGCUUGGAUGCGUAGCGUAGUGGUGAGGAUUUGAAGUCUCGCUUUUGGGCGAGAUGGAUCCGACAAUGAAACAGCCAUCUUCCAAAUCUUAAAUUCUAACUUCGUGGGCAAAAACCAUGAGGGACAGUGCCUGAUGGGCAGUUUUAAUGGGGCGUUAUCCUCCUAAAAAGUAGCGGAGGAGUUUAUCAAGGUUGGCUUAGCCCGGAUGGAAAUCGGGCUGGACGUGCAAACGCAAAAGCCAGCUUAACGGCAAGACUUACAAGUCGCGCCGGUGCGAAAGCAGAAGUUAGUGACCCGACGACGCUUCAUAGAAAGCGCGGAGACAACGGCUAAAAGUUACUCCGGGGAUAACAGGCUGGUGUGGUCCGAGAGUUCCCAUCGACGACCACGCUCGGCACCUUAACAUAUUGGGGUGCCAUUGGCAGUGAUGCCAUGAAUAAAAAUGACUUAUAACGGUGGACUCCAUGUGCUACGAUGGGCAUAUGGACAAUACCGUGGGAAGUUGCACAAAGCUACAAAGAUCGGUAAUGAUCGGAUCGAUAUUAGGAGAUGGAUACGUGCGAAUAUUUUCUGGGCGUAAUAAUGCGCUGCUCGAAAUCAAUCAUUCGUUGAAACAAAAAG